AGUCAUCUCUAUGGCAACGUUGUCAUAGUGAAGCUGACAAGUCUAAACAAUCUGUGUCUGGGUUCAGUCCACAUGCUGAAUUCCAGGGAUAAAGUCUGACACGGACACUCACCACAGGAUCGGAGCUUUAAUAUGGUAACAACAAGUGAGGAACCUUGGGUUGGAACCUGGAGGCCCCACAAGCCCAGAGGACCUAUAGCUGCACUCUAUGGUAGCCCAGGGCCAAAGUAUGCACUGCCUGGACUCACAGGCAGUUCUAUACAUGACCCUACUCAUUACAAAGCACCAAUGUUCAGCUUUGGGACACGUCCAAAGGGGGCCACUACUAACUGCUCCCCUGGACCAAGGUAUCUAAUCCCGUCCAACAUCACCAGACAGGGCACAGAGGGCACUCCUGCGUUUUCACUCCGCAGCCGACCAAAGGAACCAGAAUUUUCCAAGGCUCCUGGACCAGGACACUACUCCCCAGAGCGUUCAGGGAAGUCGAUCUUUUCCUCGGCUCCAGCUUAUUCUCUAUCUGGGAGGAGCAAAGAAUUCUACAAUAACCAAACACCAGGUCCAGCCACAUACAAUCUGCCCCCAAUACUGGGGUACAAAUCUGGGACCAAAUCUUCAGCUCCCUCCUACUCACUAUAUGGCCGCAGCAAAACUGGAAGCUUCCAUGAAGAUCUGAAGAAGACUCCUGGACCUGCUUCCUACAAAGUCGUGGACCCCUCUAUUUACCGGCAGAAACCUCCCGGGUACAGCAUGACAGGCCGCAACUUUGUUCCUGGUGAAAGCUCAAAGAAACCAGGACCUGGAGCACACUAUCCUGAGAAGAAAGAACUGGAAAGGUGGGAGAAGAGGGACAUCUGGACAUCAGUGGUUGAACUUUCUCUAAUCUCCUCACACAUCUUUACCUGCACAUGAGGAAAAUCACUCCUGUAGAAUGCAGAUGUUCAGAGGGAGAUGAUGCCACAUCUGGUCCAGCUGAUGGAAGGUCUUGAAGUUCUCUGACUGGCCUCGACUGAAGAUGUUCCUCUCACUGGAUUUAAGGUUCAGAUGCUCAGUAACAAACUCCACCAAUGAGCCAACAGGGAAGCUUUAGGUUUAUUAAAUGUUGCUAUGAAGGUUUCACUGUUUUUCUUUGUGAAUGCAAUGAGCUCCAACUGAAACUUGAAUUAGAACUUAGAAGUAAAUCCUUCCAUCUGAAAGGAUUUAGUUGCAUUAAUAACUUCAUAACAUUCUAAUUUUUAUUCCAGGCUUGGUUGGAAAUAGAAUCUCUGUAUUGAUUCAGGUAAAAACUGAACUUCACAGCAUGUUGGAGCAAAACAACCAGAUGAAAACUGUGAUGGUGUUGGAUUGUCAGACCGUAAUGUUGCAGCUCAAAGCAGCUUUUCUAGCUCAGUUCAUUCUGACAUUCAGCUAUGAAUCAACACAGCAGAUGGUGAUCCAUGCUGUGGAAGUCUCACAUCUCCUGAUUUAAUGGAGCUGCUUUGCACUUUUUACACUGUUUAUUCACCAACACUUUAUUUAAUAAAAGUUCCAUCUAGUUUUUAUGAGGAAUGUGAUGUUUUAAUUUCUCUGUGAAUAACUGCAGUCUAAUGGAACAGCUGGAAUUGUAACAUCUGUCCUGAUAUUGAUCAUGAAGUAUUGAUCAGAAUACUUAUGGUCAGCAGUCAUCCCUGAAGUUUUACAUUAAAAUCUUUACUUGUGUUGUGAACUUUGGUAAGAAGCAGAAACGUUAGCGUUGCCAUGGAUACAUGGGUGUUAAAUUCUGUCCAUGUUUCCUUUUGGGAAAUUCAGUCCAGCAGAUGAGUUUGUUUUUACUGCCAGCUACCAUUCAGUCUGAGAUAUUAAGAAUAAAUAAAUGUGCAUAAUGUGGAAAUGAACAGAUUUUAUUUUUAUUUAUUCCUACAGCGGAUGCAGAGAAAGUUCCAGAAUGUGGAGGAAUUUAGUCUCAUAAUCACAGACAAUAAAUAUUAUCUGAAAGUCGGGUUAUUGUUGUUUAUCAGCACAAUACAAAAAGAUUCAUGUUAGACAUAUUUCAGUUAAGACUCUAGAGUAUCAUGAUUUAUGUAAAUUUACCUCAGUAAUAUGAAUGUUCAGGUUAAGAUUGUGCAGUGAUAUUUAUUAUGUAAGUUUACCUGAUUAAAAUGUAUGACUCUGCACUACAAUAUUAUUUAUUUAAAUUUACAUCAUUAUUAUAAUAUUUAGGGUCAGACCCUACAGUAAUGAGAUUAAGAAAUCAAAUAUUCUAUAAAAUGUAAAUACACUGAACUCAUUUGGAUAUAUUUAAGUGAGACUCUACAAUAUUAUUUGACACAAAUCUAAAUCUAAAUUUUACUAAUUUUUACUCCAAACAUUUACUGGACUGAUUUAAAUACUAAAAUCACUCCUUUCUAAUCCUCUGCUGUACGUUCAAACCUGAGGCCUUAAAUAGAAACACACAAGUAUCUGAUUGAAGGAACUUCUGCAGAGUCCUGGUUCCAGAACAUGAUGAUAGAAUUAUAGACAAACUUUAACAAAAGCUGCCUGAGAGUUUACAGGUUUUUAUGUUAGAUUUCUUCAGUAAUUUAAUGAGAGUUAUCAGCAAAAAUCAAGUGUUCAUUUGAUGAACUUCAUUUCCUAAAACAUCCAGAAUUGGAGCUCAUAUCUUUGGCAGCUGUAAAGUUUCUGCUCCUUCAAAGUUCACAACACAAUGAAUGAAUUCCUAAAACACUCUCAAUGCUGGAGAGCGUUUGAUGCUGAAGCAGUGAUCAGUUUUUCUGUUUCUUCUCUGGAGAUGCACAAUGAGGGACGUCUGCAGAGACUGAGAAAGAAUCUCACCACAUCCUGACAUGAGGAAAAAGACUUUAUUGAAGACUACAAUGAGAAAAACUAUCAGACAGCAGACGGCUGCAUUCAAGUCUGUAGCUGCUGAAUUCAUGGAUGAAUCAUCUGGCACUAGAGAAGAAGACCAUCAAACAUCCACAUCAGCUGAUGGAGGUCCAAGAGUCUCACCAAACAAACAACCUCUGUAGGUUGUUUAAUAUUUUUUUGACAUAGUAUACUAUGGCAUUUUUUUUUGCGCCAAAAUUCAUGAUGAUUUUUUUUCAAAGAAAACAGUACCAUAGUGUUUUUCACAGCCUACUUUAAAUUAUUUCAUCAUAUGGCACGUUUUUACAACAUGUGGAAAAAUCCCAUUUUUUUUGACAUAGUAUACUAUGGCAUUUUUUUGCACCAAAAUUCAUGGUGAUUUUUUUUUUUCAAAGAAAACCUUUCUGGAGUGUUUUUCACGGCCUCCUUUACAUUAUUUCAUCAUAUGGCAUGUUUUCACAUGUUGAAAAAUGACAUUUUUCGACAUAGUAUACUAUGGCGUUUUUAUUUGCGCCAAAAUUCAUGAUGAUUUUUUUUUCAAAGAAAAACUUACCAUAGUGUUUUUCAUGGUGCCCUUCACAUUAUUUCAUCACAUGGCAUGUUUUUACAACAUGCUGAAAAAUGACAUUUUUCGACAUAGUAUACUAUGGCUGUUUUUUUGCGCCAAAAUUCAUGAUGAUUUUUUUCAAAGAAAACCUUUCUUGAGUGUUUUUCACAGCCUGCUUUACAGUAUUUCAUCAUAUGGCAUGUUUUCACAAAAUGUUGAAAAAUCACAUUUUUCGACGUAGUGUACUAUGGCGUUUUUUUUGCGCCAAAAUUCAUGAUGAUUUUUUUUUCAAAGAAAACCUUUCUGGAGUGUUUUUCACAGCCUCCUUUACAUUAUUUCAUUAUAUGGCACGUUUUUAAAACAUGAUGAAAUAUCGCAAUUUUUUUUCGACAUAGUACUAUGGCGUUUUUUUGCACCAAAAUUCAUGAUGAUUUUUUUUUCAAAGAAAACCUUUCUGGACUGUUUUUAACGGCCUCCUUUACAUUAUUUCAUCAUAUGGCACGUUUUUAAAACAUGAUGAAAAAUCGCAAUUUUUUUUCGACAUAGUAUACUAUGGCGUUUUUUUGCGCCAAAAUUCAUGAUUUUUUUUCAAAGAAAACCUUACCAUAGUGUUUUUAACGGCCUCCUUUACAUUAUUUCAUCAUAUGGUACAUUUUUACAACAUGUUGAAAAAUUACAUUUUUUUUUGGACAUAGUAUAGUAUGGCGUUUUGUUGCACCAAAAUUCAUGAUGAUUUUUUUUUCAAAGUAAACCUUUCUGGAGUAUUUUUCAUAGCCUGCUUUACAUUAUUUCAUCAUAUGGCAUGUUUUCACAACAUGUUGAAAAAUGACAUUUUUCGGCAUUUGCGCCAAAAUUCAUGGUGAUUUUUUUUCAAAGAAAACCCUUCUAGAGUGUUUUUCACGGCCUACUUUACAUUAUUUCAUCAUAUGGCACGCUAAAAUGUGAUGUUUUUGUCACAUUUUGGACGAAAUACUAAACUAUGACGUUUUUAUCACAUUUUGGACGACAUACUAAACUAUGACAGUUUUUGUGAUAUUUUGGACGAAAUACUAAACUAUGACGUUUUUUCCACAUUUUGGACGACAUACUAAACUAUGACAGUUUUUGUGACAUUUUGGACGAAAUACUAAACUAUGACGUUUUUAUCACAUUUUGGACGACAUACUAAACUAUGACAGUUUUUGUGACAUUUUGGAUGACAUACUAAACUAUGACGUUUUUGUCACAUUUUGGAUUUUGGAUGGAAUACUCAGUUAAAGCAACAUUUUAGGUGCAUGGCCAAGGAUUUUUGGUGGAAUGUUCCUUUAAGGUGGACGUGUGAGGACCUUGUAGGUGGAAUACUUCCUGAAACCAACCUUUUAGUUCAACAUUCAAAGAUUUAAGGUGGAAUAUUCCUUUAAACCAACCUGAAUUUCAUGUUUUGAUCAUUAUCAAGUGAGAAACCUCAAUCCACACUCCUCAUAAUGACGUUUGAGAUUUAUGCUGCUGUUACUUGUUUAGUCCAGACUAAAUGACAGAAAUCUACAACUGUAAUUUUAUUUCAGGACUCAGUUAUUAAAUGUCAAAACAAUCCAUGUGACUCUAAAAACUCAGCAUCUUUACAAACUCUAAGAUUAAACUCUCCACAAGGAUCCAAAAUAAGUUGGACUUCUACAUGAGAGCUUUUAUUAUUCUUCAUCUACUUCCUGAAAAGUUUGGUCAAUAAAAAAGACAAAAACUAAUAUUUUCAGCUGAACUAAAGACAGACUUUGUGAUUUUUCUGCUCACAUGUUGUGUUGUUGUAAACUUCUUCUUUCAAAUAAAUAUCCUCCUAACCCCCUGGAAACCAGCAUUUGUCCUGUUUUUGUGUUGCUCCUCGGUGACCCUAGACAGCUGGGUCCUAAUGUUUUUUGAGCAACACACCAUACUAUGAUGUUUUUACAAUGAUGGUUCUACUAUGGAACCAGUUUGACAUGUUCAGGCGUUCUUUGUGUGAAAACUCAGAGAUUUCAGGGAUCAGAAGGUGGUUUUCAACUUUCUUUGUUAACUUUCUGCUUCAACUUUAAACUAAAUUUACCUGACUAAGCCAGCCCUCUGGACUUCCAGGAAGCUGUGUUCCUAUUGGCUGUCCAGGUGGCUGCUUGGUGUUAUCAGGAACACCUGAGCAGCUCAGUGUCUUCCUGCUUUAUUUAACUGCAGACAAACAUUUCCUCUGCUUCUAUUCACCACUGAACUGGGUUUGGCUCUGUUGCUUCAGUUUGUUCUUUAGGCGUUGGCUUGCAGCUUCCAGCAGUAAAAUCGUCUUUAAUGUGUUUCUUGGUGUGUUUUAGGGCUUUGUACUGGAUAGUUGUCUUGGUAAAUGUGGUUCUUUAGCCACAGUUAGCACAUGGUACUAAUGUGUGCAGUGAUUAGUGGAUUUGGUGCAGGUGAGUUGUGUCUUUAUCUUGGCUGUAGUGAGUCUUUAGAGGUUUUUGGUCAGACACAUUCUGUAUUCUUGUUUGAGAACCAACGUUGGUUGUCCAGAAGGUAAGAGUUCCUGUCCUGAUUCUCUGUUCUCAGAGGUUGUCUGGUAGGCUGCAGGAGACUUUAGCGUUUGGGUUGUGCUAGUUUGGUUUUUGUACAGUUUCAUUUGGAUGACUAUCUUGAGGCCCCUCCAUGUGGUUUAGUGAGGUUUUCUGGAACAGUUCUACAAAGCAACCUGCAGCAGAAGAGACUUUGAGAGUUUUUAGGAAGUUCUGGAGACCAGACUUUAGAGCAGCAGAAACAUUUGUCAGCAGUUUGAGCAGGAGAAGGUGAGCUUCAGAGUAGAAAUGAGGAGAAGGAAACCUUCUUGACCCGUGUGGUGAGGUCCUGUAUCAAGAGUUUGAGCAGGUUGUGAAGAGUCUGUAGUUCUUUGGUCUGAAAGCACAAGAAGAGUCGACUCAUUAAAGGAGAAAACAGGAGAUAUUGUUGGUUUUUCUGUCGCUCUGCAGUUUCCAGUUUCCUUAGACUGAAUAUCAAGUUUAUAUUUUAAAUGAUUUCCAAUGUGAGCCCAAGAAGACUUCAAUAAACUCUCUCCAUCCCCUGGACACAACAUAUUUUAUUACCAUGUUAAA